rnacentral:rRNA from 1 species
ACGCACGCUGGCGGCGUGCUUCACACAUGCAAGUCGAACGGAAAGGCCCUGCUUUUGUGGGGUGCUCGAGUGGCGAACGGGUGAGUAACACGUGAGUAACCUGCCCUUGACUUUGGGAUAACUUCAGGAAACUGGGGCUAAUACCGGAUAGGAGCUCCUGCUGCAUGGUGGGAGUUGGAAAGUUUCGGCGGUUGGGGAUGGACUCGCGGCUUAUCAGCUUGUUGGUGGGGUAGUGGCUUACCAAGGCUUUGACGGGUAGCCGGCCUGAGAGGGUGACCGGCCACAUUGGGACUGAGAUACGGCCCAGACUCCUACGGGAGGCAGCAGUGGGGAAUAUUGCACAAUGGGCGGAAGCCUGAUGCAGCAACGCCGCGUGCGGGAUGACGGCCUUCGGGUUGUAAACCGCUUUCGCCUGUGACGAAGCGUGAGUGACGGUAAUGGGUAAAGAAGCACCGGCUAACUACGUG